AUGGAACGGGCAUUAGACUGUAGUGUUUACGUUCUGUCUGUCCCGUCUCGUCGUUUAUGAAUCGAUCUUUCAUUCGUGUUUCCUUGAGUAAUAGACUUUGGAAAUUGCUUGCAUUAAUAUCUCUGUAGUAUAUGUCAUUUCUGAUAUGUUUUGAAAUUGGGCGGGCUUUACAGCUGUACUGAAAUCGUAAGCAACAAAUCAUUGAGGAUAUAAGAAAGCUUCAUCGUAAUUUGAUUGAACUAUAGUUACUAAUUAUUAUGGAAGAAGCCGUGUCAUCAAACUUAGAUGUUUCUAAAGUUUCGAACUGUAACGUAAUCUCGCCUGAUAAAAAUCUUCCAAGAAGGAAGUCAUCAAUUUUUAAUCGGAGGAGCACGCUAAUGGGUGAUGAAAACAUGCAAUGUGAUGGUUCAUCAAGCGAAAUAAUUGAUAGAUCUAAAAGUGAAUCAGAUUUUAAUGUAGAGACGUACCUUGCUUGUCUGAAAAAAGAAGUGUCGGACUGGAAAACUAUGUAUGAGGAAAGAAAGAAAGCUAGAACACUGGCAAGAGAACGGCAACGCUUGAAGAAUGUUGUAACCAGUGAGGAAGUAUAUGCCAUUUUCAACGAAGAGGAUACACAGUUUGUCCGAGGUCGUCCAGAUUAUAAUAGGAUGGGAAGAGAUGCGAUUGUAGCGAUGGAAAAAUUCUCCAUUGCCUUACAAACUGCGAUUUGUGUCGAAAAGUCUUCACAGUUGGUUAUAAAUUAUGUACAGGAAACUGAAACAGACUUGCGUAAGAAGAUAAUUGAAUUGUCUGUUUUGGAAUGAUUUUCUGAAGUAAGGAAAGAGUGAAAGUGUUACAUCUCUGUGCUUUGCUAUUUAUUGUCUCACCGUAUUGUGCGUUAAAGAAUUGUCUUGAUUGGUGUUUAGUAUGAAAUAGCGUUUUCACUUCUUAUUGUAAAGUUCAGAGUUCGGCUCACUGCAUUACUCGUAAAAGGUUGUAAGUUCCGACGAACAUGAAAUUUGUGUAAUCGAUUUAUGUACAUCUUGAUCUACACAUUAGUGUAUUAAACAGCAUACAGUUUGGUCUCUCUUUCACCCAAUACAUUCUGCAAAAGUAAGGUAAGCAUGCAUGUAAUCCUUUGCUGUUUUAGUAAGUGCACUUAAUCGGAAUGAUUGUGUUUCAAUUUUCAUGUUAUAGAAAUUCAAAGACGAUCUUUGUAACAACAAAGAGCGUUACAUAUUUAUAAACGUUUCAUCCGGCUGUACCUUAACAAUUUUUUAAAUGGUUUACUGAAGAUAUAAUUUGAAGAAAAUAGAUGACAGUAAUGUAAUUGUGUGUACAAUGUAAAAGAAAUGGCUCAGAAUAACAUGUUUUAAGUAGAUCAGCUUUCGUUAUUAAGUUUACUAUCAUUUGAUUUUAAUUGGUUUUCUUUGCUGCAGUGCUAGUAAACGUUAGCAAUAUUACUCGUAAGAUGUAAUGAUGACUAAUAGCUGCUACUGUUCAUUGUAAACUUCUUCUUUUGUUCUGGACUUUUUAAUAUUUCCAGUCUGUAUAUAUCAGGACCUUUUAUCUCUAGUGUUUUGUGUCUGUUAAUUGCUAAUUAUGGCAAUAAAACAAUAAAGUGUACAAUGCCACUGUGGAAGCAAUUAAAGAAUGUUGUGUAUGGACUCUUUGUGCAACAAUAAUUAGUUCAUGUUCCUUGAGGGGCAUUACCUGAGAUACCUUCUUGGAAAUGAAAGAUUAGCAUUUACAAAUAAACUCCUUUGAUUGUU